rnacentral:rRNA from 1 species
AGACACGGCCCAGACUCCUACGGGAGGCAGCAGUGGGGAAUCUUGCGCAAUGGGCGAAAGCCUGACGCAGCAACGCCGCGUGCGGGAUGAAGGCCUUCGGGUUGUAAACCGCUUUCAGCAGGGACGAAAUUGACGGUACCUGCAGAAGAAGCCCCGGCCAACUACGUGCCAGCAGCCGCGGUAACACGUAGGGGGCGAGCGUUGUCCGGAUUUAUUGGGCGUAAAGAGCUCGUAGGCGGCUCGGUAAGUCGGGUGUGAAACCUCCAGGCUCAACCUGGAGACGCCACCUGAUACUGCUGUGGCUAGAGUCCGGUAGGGGAGCGUGGAACUCCUGGUGUAGCGGUGAAAUGCGCAGAUAUCAGGAAGAACACCAGCGGCGAAGGCGGCGCUCUGGGCCGGAACUGACGCUGAGGAGCGAAAGCGUGGGUAGCAAACAGGAUUAGAUACCC